UACGUAGGGACCAAGCGUUGUUCGGAUUUACUGGGCGUAAAGGGCGCGUAGGCGGCGCGGUAAGUCACUUGUGAAAUCUCUGAGCUUAACUCAGAACGGCCAAGUGAUACUGCAGUGCUAGAGUGUGGAAGGGGCAAUCGGGAUUCUUGGUGUAGCGGUGAAAUGCGUAGAUAUCAAGAGGAACACCUGAGGUGAAGACGGGUUGCUGGGCCAACACUGACGCUGAGGUGCGAAAGCGUGGGGAGCAAACAGG
rnacentral:rRNA from 1 species